CUUUUUUGUGUUUUGUUCUUCAUCUUCUUUUUUUUUCUUUUCUGACCGAUUUCAGGGAGAGAAAAAAAGUGUUGACCUCCAUUAUCGGUUCCUCCUCUUCUCUUUUUUCGGUGUUUCCGAUUUCAAGGAGAAAAAAGGGUGCGUCCUCCAUUUGUCAGCUUCCUCCUCUAAUGCUAUUUUCAAUUUUGUGCGAUUUCAGGGAGAAUAAAAGGGUCUCAACCUCCAUUAUUGGCAACUUUGCUGAUUGUCCUUCUCAGGCGACGACAUUCUCAGGCGUCUCAGGGUGUUGACCUCGCUUCUGUCACAACUUCAUUUGUUUGAAAGUUCAGAAUCAAUUUUAACUAAAUAUAGAAUUUGAUAUUAUAUCUUUCAUAAUUCAGAUAACUUUUUGUUUAUAGAAAGUAAAAUUCUAAAUAAAAUCAUUUUGCUCUUGUUUUAUUACUCUGUAUACGUGGAUUUUUUUAAGAAUUUAGUUUGACAAUAUCAUGUAGAGGCUCUACAUGCAUAUUAUUAUUAUUAUCUUUGAGUUGUUCUUGUUGUGAUUACAGUGAUAUUUCUUUUAAGCUUUGGUGGGGUGGCGCUUAACCACAACAUAAGUCAUACGAAUGUGGCGUAUUUGUUGUUGCUUUUGCUAAUCACAUUAUUCAUGAGGGGAUUACCAAUAUAUCUACCCAACUUAACAUUGUCAUUUAUCAAAAGAACUUGUGGUAUGCAAUUUCAAGCAUGCUAUAUGAAGAAGCUAGAGGAGGGUUAUCAAACUGAUGAUGAGAAGCUUACAAGGUUGAAGAAGAAAAAGCAAAAAUGAAUAUGUAGUUUUUUGAUGAAUAGUUGGAUCUUCACAUGUUUUUUUUUUUUUUUUAGUUGGACAAUUCAACUUUUACAAUUUCUUUAUGUGUCAUGAUACUAGUAUGUUAACUUUGAACAAUUUCAAAGUCAUGUAUAUUAUGUAGUUUUUGUAUAAUUUUGAGAUUAUACGAAUAUUCACAGGUUCCAUGUUUUUUUAAAAGCAAAACAAUUGCAUAAAAUUAAUAAAUGAAUAUUUUAGGUUACA